rnacentral:lncRNA from 1 species
UUUAUAAAUAGUUUAAAUUUUGAAUAGAUAGAAAGGAGUGGUGGAUAAGUGGGUAGUAUUUGUGAGUCGUUCAAAAUGUAUGGAUAAAAAGUGGCUUGAAUGUUUAUAAAAAGGUUAAUAAACAUUAACCUAACACAUGCUUAUUUUUACACAUAAGGUCUUGGAAAGGGAAUUGAAAGAGCAGGUGCAUAAUAUGAGCUUUAAAAGGUAUCUUCAAGAGGUUUGAUAUGAAAUCAUGCUGUACUGAAGAGACUGCUGUUAAAUCCUUCUUUUAGUUAUAUAUUAAAGCUUCAACUAUUAGCGCAUUGUAAAAGAUGAUCCUAGCCCACCCCAGGGUGUUGGAUUCUCUGUAGAGAAUUGUUAAUUUGUACAUUGGUCCACAAAUUGUAUCAAAUUGAAUUUAUAUUUAAAGCAUAAAAAUAACACAUUUUCCCCUCUGACAUCUUCCCAUUACUGUUAUCAUUAAUGAACAACUAUUGUGUAUUUACAUCAAGUUUAAGAAGGCAGCAGACCUAUACUUCUGACUUACGUUCCAAGUAUACGUUCUUUUAGCUGUCUGACGGGAGGCACUAGUCACCUGCAUUAACAUGUUUCUGUUCAGAUAUAAUUCAGCCCCUUGCAAUAUAUAGAGAUAGAAAUUUUGAAUACAGAUAUUAUAAUAUAAUUGUAUAAACAUUGGAAAGCUAGCAUCACCUUGGUCUUUGUAAAUGACUUCGAUUAGAUAGAACAGCAAUUGGACAGCAGAAAAGUUUGUUACACUUUAAGAUUCCUCUGAAUUAAAUUAUGGAUGCUGUGUGCAGUUGAGCAUGAAGUAUUGGAAAGAGAAGUUGGAAGAUUACGAGCCCUGUAUAAGCAGCAGCAGCAGCAGCAGCAGCAGCAACAGCAACAGCAGCCAUCAUCUAGCCAUCGACGUGCUAAGAGCAGAGAUCUGGACCAGCAAUUUGCUAAUCUUUCGCUGAAACCCAAGGAAGCAAGUGCUAGUCAUGAUACGGUUUCUGAGUAUAUCUAACUUGAGUUUUAUGAUGCCUCCUAACCGUUCCUUGACUGAUGACACCAUCCCUUGCCAAUGAAAAAAAUCAUGGUUCACCUUUCCCAGUGUCAAGCCGGAUUGUUCCAGUCCUGAGCUCAAGCUUGCUGCCUGGUCUGUUUAUCUUGUGCUUUGUCGUUAUGUUCUCUGUGUUAGUAUUUGGCAAUUUUCUUUGUUAUUAGUGUUGCCAUGUGCACCUGGUAGUCUGUGCCGGAAAAUAGUUGUUCUGGUGGAUGACUCAUCUGAGGUGGCUCUUCCAAACUUGAUUGAUGUUAAUGGUCUUGUAUGUCUCAAGUGAUUACAUCGAUCGAUUUCCCUUUAACCUUUUGCCUUAUUAAACAUUGCCAACAGCCCAGAAAUUGCUUUAUGAAAUCCCAAAACUCUUGAUUUCAUCGAGUACUUACUGGUGAUGAUUGUUUGUCGAAAAUUAUGGAGAUCUUGAUUAACUACCAAUAUAUUUCAAAGACAUGUUAGUUGUGUAGUAUUUGACACUAAAAUAAACGAAGUUUUAGAUCUUUUUUCUGUUGUAGAAAUCAUCAGGCCUUUGGGUUCGUUAACCAUCUCUCAAUUCAUUUUCUUGAAGUCUUUAGAAGUGAUCAAAUU